GAUGAAUAAGAAGAUUUGAUGAGUUUCGAUGACCUUAUUUCCUAAGGGUAUGAUAUAAGUAGACUAGUAAUGGUGGUAAUUAAAUCCCAGUUUGACUGACAGGCCAAUUUUCCACUUCGAUUUAGUACUACUAAAUAAUUAAUGUCACACCCACGGAUAUAACAAAACGACGUUUGGUUCAUACACAGCGAAACCACUCUCUUACUAUUUUAUAAGAACUUGAUGCCUGCCUGAUCCUCUUUCGUUUGUUAAUGCGCAAGAGAACCUUCUUUGAUGACUAUACUGGUCGUAAUUUCAACAAAGCUACGAAUAUUCAAGCGAAAGGUCCUGAAGACCACGUCAAAACACAGCAAGCUGGUCCCAGUUUCUGAUUUCUGUGGUUGGUAAACACUUCAAACCAAUAUGGCACUAAAUACAAGCCUCCCAAUACUCCGAAACUCUCGCGAGAAGAAACAAGUUUCAGUGGGUACACACGCGCUAGUUCAAGCGACGCCUUUCGUUCAAUUUCACGUACAAUAAAU